rnacentral:rRNA from 1 species
UACGGAGGGGGCAAGCGUUGUUCGGAUUUACUGGGCGUAAAGGGCUCGUAGGCGGCCAACUAAGUCGGAUGUGAAAUCCCCAGGCUUAACCUGGGAACUGCAUCCGAUACUGGAUGGCUUGAAUCCGGGAGAGGGAUGUGGAAUUCCAGGUGUAGCGGUGAAAUGCGUAGAUAUCUGGAGGAACACCGGUGGCGAAGGCGGCAGCCUGGACCGGCAUUGACGCUGAGGAGCGAAAGCCAGGGGAGCAAACGGG